GGCGGAGGACCGUAGCGAUUCCGACGUGCAAAUCGAUCGUCAAAUUUGGGUAUAGGGGCGAAAGACUAAUCGAACCGUCUAGUAGCUGGUUCCCUUCGAAGUUUCCCUCAGGAUAGCUGGCGCUCUGUCGCAGUUUUAUCUGGUAAAGCGAAUGAUUAGAGGUCUUGGGGGCGAAACGCCCUCAACCUAUUCUCAAACUUUAAAUUGGUAAGAAGCCCGACUCGCUCGUUUGGAGCCGGGCAUGGAAUGCGAGUGCCAAGUGGGCCACUCUUGGUAAGCAGGACUGGCGAUGCGGGAUGAACCGAACGCCGGGUUAAGGCGCCCGACGCGACGCUCAUCAGAGCCCACAAAAGGUGUUGGUUGAUAUAGACAGCAGGACGGCGGCCAUGGAAGUCGGAAACCGCUAAGGAGUGUGUAACAACUCACCUGCCGAAUCAAUCAGCCCUGAAAAUGGAUGGCGCUGGAGCGUCGGGCCUAUACCCGGCCGUCGCGGCGGUACGAGCAUCGAGUUGGUGCGCUAGGCCGCGACGAGUAGGAGGGCCGCGGCGGCGGGCGUAGAAGCCUAGGGCGCGAGCCCGGGUGGAGCAGCC
rnacentral:ncRNA from 1 species